AAGGUAUUGGGACCAAAGUGAAAGAAGAGUGCCAUGGAUGUGAGUUGCCAGUGGAGCUGAUUGGCAGAGGGGAGUGGUAAAAUUGGAAGUGGGGGUGGCUUGUGGAGGGCAGAGUAGGAAAAGGGCAAUAGAGAGAGUGAGAGAAAGAGGAGAAUUGAAUUUAAAUGGAUGUGAAAUGAGAUGGGUUUUGCAUUAAAGAUGCUGUUAUGGAUCGUCUUCUCCUCCUCCAUGGUGGAACUG
rnacentral:misc_RNA from 1 species